GAUGAACGCUGGCAGCGUGCCUAAUACAUGCAAGUCGAGCGAACAGAUAAGGAUCUUGCUCCUUUGACGUUAGCGGCGGACGGGUGAGUUACACGUGGAUAACCUACCUAUAAGACUGGGAUAACUUCGGGAAACCGGAGCUAAUACCGGAUAACAUAUUGAACCGCAUGGUUCAAUAGUGAAAGGCGGCUUUGCUGUCACUUAUAGAUGGAUCCGCGCCGUAUUAGCUAGUUGGUAAGGUAACGGCUUACCAAGGCAACGAUACGUAGCCGACCUGAGAGGGUGAUCGGCCACACUGGAACUGAGACACGGUCCAGACUCCUACGGGAGGCAGCAGUAGGGAAUCUUCCGCAAUGGGCGAAAGCCUGACGGAGCAACGCCGCGUGAGUGAUGAAGGUCUUCGGAUCGUAAAACUCUGUUAUCAGGGAAGAACAAAUGUGUAAGUACCUGUGCACAUCUUGACGGUACCUGAUCAGAAAGCCACGGCUAACUACGUG
rnacentral:rRNA from 1 species